rnacentral:rRNA from 1 species
AUAAAAAACCUGAGAAACCACAGACAAUUUUUCGUCAAGAAGCGAGACCAUCUGCGCCAAUCACAAAACAAGUUCCAUCCUCAGAUGCCCAUGUUGAUACUAGGAAAAUCCAGCAAGUCACCCUUGAUAAUGUUCCCACUGAUGAUUCAUCAAUACCACCUUUUCCAAGUCAUGACCAAGUUUCCCAUGCACCACAAGCAUUCCCUAGUAAAAAUGACAGGGCACCUGCACCAGGCACAAAGGACUCUCCAGCCUCAGAUACCCAAAUUGCUUCAGCAAAAGUCCAGGAAACUAUGCCUGACAAUUAUCGCACUGAUGAGUUAACAGUGCCAUCUGUCUCAAGUGAAAAGCAAGGUUCCUAUGCUGGAUCUUCUACCGAACCACAUGAAGGAUCAUCUCCUGAUGCUUAUGGUGCCACAGAUGGCAAGGACAUAACUAAAUAUCCAUCUAGGCAAGCACCAGUUUUAGAAUAUAGGCCUGAUUCAACACCAGCUGAUAGUUAUGUUCGUCCCAUCAGUGGUAGCGAAGUAUUUCCUGCAGUAAAGAAAUCUGCCCCAUCAGAUCAAGAUUCAAUUCAGUCUGCCCAACAACCUUCUCCAGCUGAGACUAGGAAAGAAGAGACUAUCUUUGCUGCAGCUGGACCGACAUUUCCAACAACCGUCAGUAAAGACACACAAGUUUCUCGGCGCCCUAUCAAGGCGGAGAGAUCACCUUCUGCUUAUCAGGAGGACCAUCUUGUUGCCCAAGACAGCCAUGAGCAACCUCAAACCCUCCCAACUGGUGGCAGAGCAGAUGAUUCUACACCAAAGCGUCAACAAGAUCCUAAAGAUAAAUCAAGUACUCCUCCAGCUCCACCCAGAGCAAGAGUUCGUGAUGAACAUCCUACUGAAGAACCUUUUAAUGGAGACACUGUUGAUGAGCAAAAAGGAGCAUCACCUCUAUUGGGCCAAGAACCAACUUCCCAAGUCCAACGUGCCACUGAACUAUCACAGGAAGCAGCUCCCGAUGGAGAUAUGUCCAGCAAACCUUCCACCAUUGGUCAAUGGCAGCGCACGUCUGUGCCUUUACAAGGUAUAACUCCUAAUUCUGGUGAUGAUGUGCUGGGUGGGUCUACCAUUGAUCAAAAGCCAACACCAAUAAGUCAACAAUCAAUACCCAGUACUCGGGGUGCCAGUGAGAUGGUAGAAAAAGAUCAAAGAAUGGCACCACCUGCACGACCAGGAGCACGAACACCCGAUGUUCUGAGCGCUCCGUCAUCAUUCUCAGCAACUGACACAGCUGAGAGAGAUGGAGAACCAGUACAAAUGCAAGCACCAACUCUGCAUGAUCAAGGGGCACAACCACCUGAAUCAACUCAAGCACAAUCACCUUUUGAUGCUCCACGUGACUCGGUAUCAACCCAAGAUGUACCUAGUGAUGCCUUGGACAAAACCAAUGUUGCAAAACCAACUUCAACUGAAGGCAAGGCACCAGCGCCAACUUCGAAGGCCCAGCUUGCUGAAGAGAAAUUUGCUCCAUCAGAUAAAAAAUUAGCUCGUGCCACACGACCAACUUCAACUGAAAGCAUGACACCUGCAGCUGGACCAGCGCCAACUUCGAAGGCUCAACUUUCUGAACAGAAUUUUGCUCCAUCAGAUAAAAAACCUGAGAAACCACAGACAAUUUUUCGUCAAGAAGCGAGACCAUCUGCGCCAAUCACAAAACAAGUUCCAUCCUCAGAUGCCCAUCAUGAUACUAGGAAAAUCCAGCAAUUCACCCUUGAUAAUGUUCCCACUGAUGAUUCAUCAAUACCACCUUUUCCAAGUCAUGACCAAGUUUCCCAUGCACCACAAGCAUUCCCUAGUAAAAAAGACAGGGCACCUGCACCAGGCACAACGGACUCCCCUGCCUCAAAUACCCUAAUUGCUUCAGCAAAAGUCCAGGAAACUAUGCCUGACAAUUAUCGCACUGAUGAGUUAACAGUGCCAUCUGUCUCAAGUGAAAAACAAGGUUCCUAUGCUGGAUCCUCUACUGAACCACAUGUAGGAUCAUCUCCUGAUGCUUAUGGUGCUGCAGAUGACAAGGACAUGACUAAAUAUCCAUCUAGGCAAGCACCAGUUUUAGAAUAUAGGCCUGAUUCAACACCAGCUGAUAGUUAUGUUCGUCCCAUCAGUGGUAGCGAAGUAUUUCCUGCUGUAAAGAAAUCUGCCCCAUCAG